AUUUUUCAGUAUAAAAUAGUCACUUACUACAGUACUAAAACAAUUAUUUACGUUUUUGAGUGAAUAGGUAGGUUUAAUAAGCAGCAUGCCAUAUAAGAUAUUAAACAAUUUGUAAUUGACGUUUUAUGCUUCGGCUGAUAACUUUGUUCAGACCAACUGGCCAGGGUGCAUUGGGCUAUUCCAUUUAAUAUCCGUACCCAACUCCCUGUCGAGGAUCCCUGGAAUUCUUCAGGGGUAAAGUGUUUUGAGCUUGGAAUUCUUCAGGGGUAAAGUGUUUUGAGUUUGGAAUUCUUCAGGGGUGAAGGGUUUUGAGCUUGGAAUUCUUCAGGGUUAAAAGGUUUUGAGCUUGGAAUUCUUCAGGGGUAAGGAGUUUUGAACUUGGAAUUUUGGAAUUCUUCAGGGGUAAAAGGUUUUGAGCUUGGAAUUCUUCAGGGGUAUAACCAUGAAAAACAUGUAUCCUCGACAGGGGGUGUACGGAUAUUAAAUGGAAUAGCCCAUUCCAUGUAAAGUACUCCGUAGAUAAUCCAACAUAUACAAUAGUUCACGCCAAUAUGUUGGAGAUUUUAACCCCGGGACCAAAGUCGAUGUUAAAAUGGCAUUUAAUGGCUAUAAACCUGGCAUGUUUUAUUUACUGUUGGGCCAUUCCAUUUAAUGUCCACACACACCCUAUGGAUGAGUUUUUCUGAAGGGUGACUCAAAAAGUCGUUUCUAGCCUGUCGGCAUCCUUUGAUCUCUGCAAUUUUUCUGAGGGGUAAGGGGAAAAUUUAGAAAUUUCUGAGGGGUGUUUUGUGUCGGCACUUUGAUAGUUUUUUCUUAGGGGUUAAAAUUUUACUGACCUCAUCCAUAGGGGGGGGGGGAGUGGAUUUUAAAUGGAAUGGCCCAUUAACAUCAUAUCCUUGAAGUUUAUAUACUGUGAAUAUAGAAUUUAUAGAUAUUGUAUGAUAAUCAAUUCAGCCACAAACUUCUACUGUAGUUACACUUAUCACUUCUUUUUGAGUGAUCUCAUGCCAAUUCUUGGGUUUCACUAUGGCAUUAUACAGUGAAUCUGACGGGGGGCAAACUCAAGUGUAUUGAUGCUUAUGCUGUACUCAAAUGAGAAAAUGAUACAAAAUUCCAUGUAUUCACCAUCAAACACAAGGCUAACACAUAAAAAGAACAAUCGACUCACAUGAAAAGUAUAGAAUAAAAAUGCAGAUGACAUUGACAACAUGAGAUGAUAAAGAUCUUUAAUGUAAUAUAAACUGACACAACAACUACAGGUGUUUAUUGACUGUUGUACUCUUGAUGACUGAUAGAAGAAGCUUCAUAGCAUUAGUGGCCGACCACUUAACUUUUUUUUUUUGGGGGGGGGGGUUGAUUUUGAAAAAAAUUUCCUGCAAGGCUAUUCUGAA